GUGAGCUCCAGCGGGCUGCACAGUGAGCUUUCAGCUGGAGCCAGCAGAGGCAGGCAGGAGUGUUUGGACUCCGAGUCCUCCAGACCCUGGACCAACGGGAUGGACGCGUUCUGCACAAACUGCACCAGCAGCUAAGAGGAGGAGGAGGAGAGGAAAGGAAAGAGCCAUAGCAUGAAAACAAGUACAGUGCUACGUGUAGUAUUCCAGGACAAGUAACAACACAGUCUUGUUCAACUGCGAUAAAGAUGGAGCAUGCAAACGAUGACAGGAUUACCUCUGGUUUGGAGUCAAGCUCAUCAGAAAGCAUGGGUCACCCUGUGUGGAACCUGUAGGAUAAUACGCUGAUCCAUUAAACGCACCCAGGGCUGCAGACCUGAUUGGCAGGGUAAUCAGCGGCAUGGGACACACCUACAUGCGUAUAGAAGCCAGAGCAGCAGUUAGUCUGGGGUUGGACCUCCUUCAUCUCACAGUUUCCGUUGUUUUGUUUUUGGUUUCUUGUCUUUGUUUUUACAGCACAACAUCCAUGCAGCACGUUUUCACUCAUCCACUCCCUACACUACUGACUUUACAGAUUCUUCCCAUUCAUUGGUUUCGCUUAUUUUCUUAUUAAUAAAUCACUUUGUUAUUUAGUUUA